rnacentral:rRNA from 1 species
GACGAACGCUGGCGGCGUGCUUAACACAUGCAAGUCGAACGGAAAGGCCCUGCUUUUGUGGGGUGCUCGAGUGGCGAACGGGUGAGUAACACGUGAGUAACCUGCCCUUGACUUUGGGAUAACUUCAGGAAACUGGGGCUAAUACCGGAUAGGAGCUCCUGCUGCAUGGUGGGGGUUGGAAAGUUUCGGCGGUUGGGGAUGGACUCGCGGCUUAUCAGCUUGUUGGUGGGGUAGUGGCUUACCAAGGCUUUGACGGGUAGCCGGCCUGAGAGGGUGACCGGCCACAUUGGGACUGAGAUACGGCCCAGACGCCUACGGGAGGCAGCAGUGGGGAAUAUUGCACAAUGGGCGGAAGCCUGAUGCAGCAACGCGGCGUGCGGGAUGACGGCCUUCGGGUUGUAAACCGCUUUCGCCUGUGACGAAGCGUGAGUGACGGUAAUGGGUAAAGAAGCAACGGCUAACUACGUG